CAUUGAGAACUAUUGUACAAAUCAAAUUAUCUGUAAGUCUGGUUACACUAACAAAUAUCUCUUGCUGUUUUUGAUGCUACUGCUAUAUAGUAUCGAAGCUCAGAAGCUUCAGUCAUUGACCAGACAUUUUUCCAUCAUAACUCUCCUCUACUCCAAAGACUUGUGCUUUUUCUGUGCUCAUCUAUAGCAAGUGGUCUUGCUGAAAUCCUUAGGACUACUGAUUAUGCAUUAGGUUAAGCAGAUGCUACUGCUUUGUUUUGCUAUUGGAAUGUCUUAUGGACCACACAAACUGUAUUGUAUUGCCUGUGUUAAAUGGUGGGCUUGAGAUACAAGAAUGAAGAAUUAUGUAAUGUCAUACUGACAAAAACUCUGGAAAACAAACAGGUUUAUCAAGGCAACAUGAGUCCUGUGAGACUUAUAUCUAGCUCAUUUCUUACACUGUGUUGCAGACAGCAAUAGCCAAUUUAUAGGCCCAGCCAGAAAGUUCUCUGUCACAGCAGUCUCAUCAGACACAUGCCCAGAGAUGUUUGAUUUCUGCUGAGAUGUUCAAGUAAGGAAGAUAUGUGACAUAGCUGUGAGUUCUUUUUUUCCAGGUGACUUAUUUCCAGGUCUGCGAUGUAUUGAUUUUACCUAUGCGAAUGGAAAAUGUUAUGUAGAAGGUGAAGUCUCAGUGAGGGAAAGAGCCUAAUGGUGCCCUAUUUACCACAAAGCACUGUAUUCCACAUCAAGUGCUACAAUUUCACUGAAAACCAAACAGUAAAAUAAGAAUAAGGGCUUUUUCAUGAAAUGACACAUAAAUAUGAGGGGAAAUAUCUGAAACUUAAAACCAGAGGAAUGGUCUUUGAAACAGGGUUUAUGCAGGAUGCACAAUGCUGCCCUGAAGACCACUGCUAUGUAGCGUUUGGCUCAACACCCUCUGUCUCCACAGAGGCCAAACUGAUUUUCCUCAUGGAUUUUUAUUUGGGGCUUAUCAUACUCACAGAUGAGUGGUUCAUAAACAGUAAUGUCUGUUUUCUGACAACGGUAUGAUAAAAGGCUUUAUUUUUAUCUUUCCUAAACAGAUGGGGACCGAUAGGCACAGAGGUUAUUGUCUAAAGAACUAUUUCUUUCACGUUGUUUAGCUUGAAACACUUGGGAUUUAUCUUGUCUGUCUCUAACAUGGCAUAGCAUUUACAUAUUUCAGCACAGUUCACAUUGACUUCAUGUGCAGCCAUGAGUUUACAGCAGCUCUGCAACUUAGGCCACAGAUGUCUUAAGUCAGACGCUCAGAAAAUAAGGAACAUGCAAUUAGAAUGAUCUUCACCAGCAGCAUUCAGGAUGUGCUUCUUGCCAUGAAUGAACUAGGGGACCAGCGGCAAGACCCUCCUUCAUUGCCCAAUCAUUCCUACAUCAUGUUUCAUCCUUAGACAUGAUCUGUUCUGUAUGACCAGUUGUUUUUUUUUUUCCUGGGACUCAGUGGAAAAAGUCCCCAAAUAUACGGUUUUAAUGUACACAAGGGGCUGAAUUAACUUUACAAAUAUAGUCAUGAUUUUGGCUCUUCCCAUAUGUGAUGAAUUUAAUUUUACCUUUUUAAGAAUAUUCUUUCAAUACAAAUUUUAUGUGUGUAUGCGUGCAUCUGUGAAAUUUCUUCAGUUUUGCUUUCUGUGGGUUUUUUUUUGUUUUUGUUUUUUUUUUAAUAAACUGAAUUAUGUUCACAGCCGUGUGAACCAUCGGCACUGUACUGUACAUGAACUGCCUAUGAACUGCAAGCAGUUUCUACUGAAUGUGUGCAAACCACCUUUACCAAAGGCAAAUUCAGAGCAGAUUUUACCCCAAAAUAUCAGAAGGAAAUUCUGUGACUUGGAGAGUGUCCCCUAUUAAGUUUCAAGUCUCAUCAGAGUAUAACAGUGGGAGCCACAUUAAAAAAAUUAUCCCUAACAUUUCACCAAUGAAUUAACAGUGUAUUUUCCCUUGGUCUUAUUCUCUGAAAUUAUACAAAAAUCUUCACAAAAGAUAAUAAACCCAAUGUAACCCAUAUGGAAAGUCUUACCUUGACACUUUAGUGAAGUUGCAAGUGACUGGAAAAUGGGUCUAAGAAUGAAAAAUGUUGGCCUGCUUUAAUAAUGAGAAAUAUUUUCAAUUCCAUUGGAUAACUGUAGUAAUUUUUAAUUAGAGAAAAUGGGCUAUCAAGCUAAUACACUUCUAUGUGGGUCUCUUCCAUUAAGAAAUAUUAUAAAUAUAGAAAAUAGUCCAGUCGGGUAAUUCUUUCUAGCAGGAGACUAUCUCAGCUCUCCUCUCUGAUAAGAAAAUAUGGCAGUUGAUCAUGAGGUCUGAACUCUCCUAGAGAAGCUGUAUGGGGGAUAACAGCAAUGCAGCAUUCAGAAAUUGUCCCAAGAUUUUUAAUAAAGAAAGCAGACUGUUGGAAACAACAUACAAAACUAUAAUGAAAGGUUCACUCUAGGAGAAAACUGGCAAAUAUUUACACCAUAUUGCUUACUUUUCCAGUAAAGUUGUUUUUAUUGUUAAUUUAUAUUAAAAACAGGUGAUUCGUCCUAGCCUCCUUCAAAAAGUUGAUUGGAAAAGCUUGAGAAUGUAUGUUAAUAGUAGAUAGCUAUGAAUUGAAUACACACAACAAUCUGUUAAAUAAGAUGUCAGUCUAGCUAGCUGCAUUUCAGAGACUUAGCUUUACUAAUUAAAUUUCCAAGGGUAAAAGUUUUCAAAGCCAGUAUAACAAUAACAAAUAUUAUAUGCUGUUUACAUAGCAACAAUAGGACUCGGAAUACAAUACGCUUCAGUCAACCGUUUCUCUUUCUCUCACAUUUCAAAAUGAUACUAUACUGCUGCUAAGAGGAAAUAAUUUGAUCUUUAGAAAACAUACUUAUUAGCUACAGAAGAUCAAUUGGGACAUACAAAUUUUUUCCAUAUAGCAACAAUAAUAAUGCACCCCAAUCUGCCUUUUAACAGGGGAGGAUACUUGAGGUUCUAUCAAAACUGGUAUUUUAAAAGCUUCUAAGAUUGCUUUGCUAAAAUUUGCUCCAUUCAAGUUACCAAAUAAAAAGCUACACAAAUAUAAUGAAAAAAAGAUUAUCCACUCUGCCAUCAUUAGAGGAAGUCAAUUAUCAGUUGGACCAAAGGAGUUUUGAAGUAAUUAAAUUUGAGGCUGUGUGACAUUGCUGUCAUUCCAGUGAGAUCCUCCCACACUUCCCUGUCACUGAUUUAUUCAGAUGGUAAAAGCUGGAUGGGUGUAGAUUUUCUGUCGAUAUACUAAAUUAUUUUCUAUCUGAGCUGCUCUCAGAUGAUUUUACAGUGCUUUCUUGGCAACAGAUCAUAUUUUCAACCUUUCCAUUAAAAGUGUCUAUUGAAAUUUUCUUUAAAUGCAUAAAAAUAGCUAACAGCACAACUUUUUCUGUUUUUUCUUCUCCUCUGAAAAUUUUAAUAACUGAAGCAUGAGCUCUUGAGAAAAGUAAAUAAUUUAAACAAAAAAAGAGAGAGAGAAAAGAUUUUACUAAGUUUGUUCCAUCAGAUUUUUACUGAAAACAAUAUUGUUUGCCUGAAAUUCACAGGAGAGUGUUAUGAAGAGGGGGGGAAAAAAAGGUUGCGCUGCUUAUCACAAACCUUCUCCGGACCGAUCUCUAACAUAUUAAAAGAAGUAGAAGACAUCACUAACACCUUAAGAAAAUAUUUCUCAGUUACGUUGUCCAUUGAACAUGCUAUUUAGCAAUCUAUUGAAAAAUCCACUGGGCAGCCUUGGGUGACAGUGGCUAGGCUCCCUGCCCAGCCCGUGAAAAGGCAAUUUGGGCUCCCAGGUACCUCAAUUCCCAACCAUUCGAUGCCUGGAAGCGAGCUGAAAUUGCAGAUGAAACAGUCAUUGAUCCUUGUCAUGUGCUUACAGAUGUCUGGGAAAUCAAAACUGUCAACUCCUACUGAUUGCAGGUGCAUAACACAGUAAAAAACCCCAGGAAGUUUUUCCCCAAGCAUGCAGUGCAUGCCUACAAAUUCUUGCUGUUUGCUUGAAAGAAGAGGCAGUAGCACAGAACAGCUGGAAGGACACAUUUAUAGCAAAGGUACCGGUGGACUCAAGAGAGGUGAACAUCCAUUUGGAAACAAGAAGAAAAAUGUGUUGGGGCUUUUGGCCGUUUUAAGCCAGUUUCUGCUUUCAGGUUGAUUAAUAUGAAACCAUAGUGACUCAGAUGACUUCAGUGGAGUUAAUUCAGAUUUGCAGUUCUCUCCAAUUAUUAUGAACACAGAAAGCACAGAUCAUAGGUGUGGUAAGUACCUCAAGAUGUCAUGUUGACCAUUUCCCACUCAAAAUCAGGUUCUGUUACAUCAAAUCAGGGGUUUGAUUUGUUUUUAAAGCUGCAAGGUUUGAAACUGAGUAUUUUUCCAGCUAUUUCCUCCAGAAUAGCUGGUUAUUCUCUGUUCUUCCCACACAUGACACGAAAAAGAGUUUAUUUUCUUCUUUAUAACUAGUUUAUAGAUGUUUGCAGACCAAUGUCUCCUGCCACAAUGCUUUUGAUGUGUAUCUCUGGUAUUUCUCAGUACUCAUCUUUGGGCUCUCUACAGUUGAUCCAUAUGUUCCUGAAAUGCAGCAUCCAAACCCAGAAUGCUUUGGGAAGCAGCAGAUACCAAGGAAUUCUGAAGAAUUACUUAAUGUCUUACAAACAAGACUGCUUUUACUACAUUUCGCAAGUAUUUGUCUUCUCUUCUGUAACAGUGUGACACAGCUGAGUUAUGUGCAGAUUUAUAAGACUUAUGUCCUUUGUAUUUGUACAGUUAUUUGAACAGCCAUCCUCACAUCUUAUAUAUGUUCAAAGUAUUUUGAAUUGCAUUCCCCCUUUCCAGGCUGUAGCUCCAAUUACAACAUUUUAAAUUAUUAUCCUGAGCUCCUGUGUGCGUGCUGCCCCUCCAUCUUGAAGUAAUUUGUAAAUUUGAUGAGAAAGCUGAAGCACCCAAGAGAUUUGCUCCAGCUCACAGGUGAAACAAGGAUAUAAACUCUGUUUCCUGAAAUGAAGUCUCAGCCAGUGUCUGUGCAUAAUGAAUAUAGUAGGAAUUUCUGGGUGUGCUUUUCCACAGUAAUGUAAUUUCUGCCGACAAAAAAGAUUUAAAAAUUCAUUAACUUAUCAUUCAAAGUUUUCCCAUUUUGUCAUUAACAUUAAAGAAACAAAACAAAACAAUUCCCCAAACACUGCCCUUGUUUUUUAUUUUUUUUUCCUUUUUUUUGGAUAAGAUAUUGUUAGCAAGCAGUUUUCAGAGUCCUUGGGAACCUCAAAUAUCCCAGUUAGUUUUUGGUACUUCUCUGAUGUGUUUAAUUUGCACAAUUUUUUUUUUUUUUUAAUUUUGCACAAUCAUCUCUAACUAUAUGCUUUGGUCGUUAAACCAAGCCACACAUGUUAAGUAAGGCUCUCUUAUCUCUGUCUUCAUCUCCCCUUCUUGCUUGUGCUAGAGACAUAUAUUCACGCUCUACUAAUGCUUCUGCUCACUUUUUUACCUUCAGUAUGAAUAUUCUCAUGUAACCCUAGUCAUGCAUUCAGUAACGCCUUUCCUUAUUGUUUUAUGCUUUGCAAGAUUUGCAUACUACAUAUGUCGGUGUUGUGGUUUAAUUCAGCAGGCAGCUAAAACAACCACACAGACCUUCACUUACUCCCUCCCCCCUCAGUGGGGUAGGGGAGAGAAUCAGGAAAAAAAAAAAGGAAAAACUUGUGGGAUGAGAUAAAGACAGUUUAAUAAAAGAAAAGGAUGAUUAAUAAUGCUGCUGCUACUACUACUGCUACUAAUAAUGAUAAUAAUAAUAAUAAAGAACAUACAAAACAAAUGAUGCACAGCACAAUUGCUCACCAAUCGCAGACCACCAAUGCCCAGCUAGUUCCUGAGCCAUGGUCCAGCCUUUGGCCAGCUUCCCAGAAGUUAUAUGCUGAGCAUGACGUCAUAUGGUGUGGAAUAUCCCUUUGGCCAGUUUGGGUCAGCUGUCCUGGCCAUGACACCUCUGAGCUUCUUGUGCACUGCCAGUCUACUUGCUGGCAGGGCAGUAUGAGAAGUUGAAAAGUCCUUGACUUGGUGUAAACCUUGCCUAGCAACAACUAAAAACAUCAGUGUGUUAUCAACAUUAUUCUCAUCCUAAAUCCAAAACACAGCACCAUACCAGCUGCUAGGAAGAAAAUUAACUCUAUCCCAGCCGAAACCAGGACAGUCAGUGAGGCUAUUUAGACUGGGGAAAAAAAAAAGUGAAGAAAAUAUUCAGUAGCAUGGUAUGUUGCACUGGAUGGACUGCAUAUGUUCUGUUCGUGUGGCACAUAGUGGGGUUGGCUGAAACAAAGAUGUUUUCAUAUUACCCUAAAUGGAAGGCAAGUCAGGAUGGGAAGAACAUUUUUUUCCCCCUGUGUUGGGUUUGCGUGGCAAGGUUUUGGUAGCGGGGGGGCUACAGGGGUGGCUUCUGUGAGAAGCUGCCAGAAGCUUCCCCUGUGUCUGACAGAGCCAAUGCCAGCCGGCUCCAAGACGGACCAGCCGCUGGCCAGGGCCAAGCCAAUCAGCGCCUCUGUGAUAACAUAUUUAA